rnacentral:rRNA from 1 species
CCUACGGGAGGCAGCAGUGAGGAAUAUUGGUCAAUGGCCGUAAGGCUGAACCAGCCAAGUAGCGUGAGGGAAGACUGUCCUAUGUGUUGUAAACCUCUUUUAUGCGGGGACAAAGGUGUCCACGUGUGGCUGUUUGCAGGUACCGCAUGAAUAAGGAUCGGCUAAUUCCGUGCCAGCAGCCGCGGUAAUACGGAAGGUACGGGCGUUAUCCGGAUUUAUUGGGUUUAAAGGGAGCGUAGGCCGGUCUUUAAGCGUGCCGUGAAAUUUUGGGGCUCAACCAUGAGAGUGCGGCGGAAACUGGAGACCUUGAGUGGGCGGGAGGCAGGCGGAAUUCGUGGUGUAGCGGUGAAAUGCUUAGAUAUCACGAAGAACCCCGAUUGCGAAGGCAGCCUGCCGCAGCGUUACUGACGCUGAGGCACGAAAGCGCGGGUAUCGAACAGGAUUAGAUACCCGUGUAGUC